UACCAGAUUUUUUUUUGUGGCAAACAACGGUAAAUAGCCUAUAUCAUCUUGACAUGACAUAUGAAAACCCCUUAAGCAUAAUGGUGUGUGUAUGGAAUAGUCCAUGGAAUUGUCCAAACCGAUACAGGUGAAAUACGUAGAAUAAUAUUGCUGUGUCUAUUGUGGACACAGCAAUAAAAUCAGAUUUAAGAUCCUUAUGAGCCCGUAGUAAAGUAAAAAAAACUGUAAAAAGCCUUAUUAAAUAUAAUUUGCUCGAUUAACCUUGAAGUGAAGACUAAUAAAAAUUUGCGUGUAUAGUGAACCCCCUAAAUAAAAUAAUACUGUGUUCUAGACCACUUCCCCUUUCGGUGAUCUACAGAAAU
rnacentral:lncRNA from 1 species